GGCGGACCCAGGUGCUUCAGUUCAUGGGCGGCGGCGAUCGUGUGCGGCAGCUGGCCGUGGACCGGUGCCAGGGCAUUCCAGCCGCGCGGCGGAUUGAUCUCCAUACCAGCCUUCCCGGCGGCAGCAUAUCGGGUGCCCGCGCGGACCGGAGCGCGCGAUCCGGCGGGGGAUCAGAUGCCCGCGAUCCGGGGCUGACCGCUGUAGCGGGCCAUGAGGUGUUCCUGCAGGCCGAUAGCGCAGCGGUCGGCGGCCAUGGGGGGCCCGACCCAUCUGCCGUCGGGCUGAAGCGUCCAGCAGU
rnacentral:misc_RNA from 1 species